AAUCUAUUUUCUAGUCACUAUUACACCCUUUUGUCAACUAUACCAUUGUUGCUUCCACUGGACAGACUUCGGUCCUCUGGCACACCGCAAGGUGACGCUGGGGAGUGCUGGUGGAAAGAAUUUAAACUCGUCUUUAGAAAAACUUGUCUGACAAACUUAUUUUUUAAUAAAAUAAAACUUUCAACAACGGAUCUCUAGGCUCUUGCAUCGAUGAAGAACGCAGUGAAAUGCGAUAAGUAAUGUGAAUUGCAGAAUCUCGUGAAUCAUUGAAUCUUUGAACGCACAUUGCGCCCUAUGGUAUUCCGUAGGGCAUGCCUGUCUGAGCGUCAGCUCGUCUUCUCAAGCUCUUUUGCUUGGAUAACAUUGGAGAAGCAAUACACGGUCCAUCUGGGCUCUGUGUGCUCUCCAGAAAUUUAUAGGCGGUACGGUUCUAGCAAACCAGACGUAAUAAUUCUUUAUCUCGUCCUUUGUUUUGGAGCUGUUGCUUGCCUCUUAAUCCACAUCUUUUUUCAAGAUGACCUCAGAUCAGGUAGGGAUACCCGCUGAGCUUAAGCAUAUCAAUAAGCGGAGGAAAAGAAACCAACAGGGAUUGCCUUAGUAACGGCGAGUGAAGCGGCAAAAGCUCAGAUUUGAAAUCUAGCGUCUUAUAGGCGUUCGAGUUGUAAUCUGUAGAGAAGUUAUCGAGUGUGGAUUUGGCCUAAGUUCUUUGGAACAGGACGUCAUAGAGGGUGAGAACCCCGUAUACGGCCUUGGUCUUAUACUCAUGUGAGGCUUCUUCAACGAGUCGAGUUGUUUGGGAAUGCAGCUCUAAUUGGGUGGUAAACUCCAUCUAAAGCUAAAUACUGGC
rnacentral:rRNA from 1 species